GUGACUGUUCUGCCCACGCAUUCAGGAUCCGCGUCAUCCAAAGUUAUAUAUAUAUAGUUGGUAGUUUACAAUGACGCUACGACGGGCAGUAGUUGCCUGGACAACACAAGAGGCCGAUUACCUGAGCCGAGUUUGGAAAUUUUACCGAUACCGCGGCUUCUAUAUGGUAAAUAUUAUUAAAAGCAAUAAUGCGAUUACAUAGGGAACGGGUCAACCGUCGCCCAGCCGGGACCUCACUUGUUGACAACCGAGACAACUCGGUUACCUGUUUUAUACGUCGAAUUUCGGUCGCGUCGAAUGCAAUUCAAACAAUAGAUAAUGAAGGUUAAUGAGGUUUCUCAUCUCAUCAUCUGUUGUCUUAACUGCAUUCGACGCGACCAAAAUUAGUCGACGUAUAAAACAGGCCUGAGUUCAAAUUUUGCCGAGUUGUCCCAGCAAAGUGGGCUGAAGAAUGACACGCACGGUUUUAACUUUGAAA
rnacentral:lncRNA from 1 species